CUAGCCUUCUGCCAGAGAUCCGGAGAUUCCUAGUUCUGGCAAUCCGUCAUUCAGCUCCUUCCGGUCCUUCGCAUCAGCACCUCGAUCGCGGUUGGAUCGGGCACCUCCACGUUGUUUUGGUUCGAUAGAUGGGCUGGCGACCGGCCCCUUGCGGCUCGGUUCCCGGACCUAUUCUCCAUCGUGGUUGAACCACGAAUCUCGGUUGCAACGGCCCUUAUUGACUUAGGGCAUCUCGCAUUCCGGAGAGCUUUUGGCCCGGCUGAGAAUGCGGACUGGCAUGAGCUGCUGGAAUGCAUCGCGCUCCAAGAACCUAAUCUCGAGGGGGAAGACCGGGCCAAGAGGCUUCUAGAGCCAUCGGGGCAGUUCUCCACUAAAUCUCUAUACAUGGCCAUCGCACCCUCGUUGGGUCAUGAGGCCCUCACUUCCAUCUGGGAGAUUCGACUCCCCUUGAAGAUUAGGAUAUUCAUGUGGCAAUUGAUUCUCGGCCGCCUACCCACCGGCGUGGAGGUCCUGAAGCGCAAUGGCCCAGGAGAUGGGCGUUGCCCGCUCUGCGGGCCUGAGGAAGAUUCGAACCAUAUCUUCUUCACAUGUGUGUCCACGAAGUUCCUUUGGAGUUGUUUCCAUGAAUUAGUGGGUGGAAGCUGGGAUCACAACAACUUCCCUGCCCUAUUCGCGGAACUCCAGGCAUUACCUCCCCCAUCCUGUCACAUUAGGUGGCUAGUCAUCGGAGUGCUAACCUGGACGCUGUGGACAGUUAGGAAUAAACUUGUGAUUCAGCAGAUCCCUCUUCGAUGUGCUACUGACGCUUUGUUCAAAUGGUCUAGUUACUUGAAGCUUUGGCGGCCGCUUAGCCGCCCCCAGGAGAGAGACGCCAUCACCUCCAUCAUCGCCCAGAUUCGUUCGAUGGCGCUCCGGCUGGCUCCCCCGCUCCCUCCUCCAUCACCUCGUCGUCGCCGCCGCCAUUGUGUUCGUAGUUUGAGCCGUGGUGUGUUAUUGGGCAUGUUAUGCUGUGCCCAUAGCUGA
rnacentral:rRNA from 1 species